UACGUAGGGUGCAAGCGUUGUCCGGAAUUAUUGGGCGUAAAGCGCGCGCAGGCGGCCCUUUAAGUCCGUCGGUCAAAUGCCGGGGCUCAACCCCGUUGCAUGCCGAGGAUACUGGAGGGCUGGAGACACGUAGAGGCAAGCGGAAUUCCGGGUGUAGCGGUGGAAUGCGUAGAGAUCCGGAAGAACACCGGAGGCGAAGGCGGCUUGCUGGGCGUGAUCUGACGCUGAGGCGCGAAAGCGUGGGGAGCGAACAGG
rnacentral:rRNA from 1 species